UGCGGGGGGGGCAAGCGUUGUUCGGAAUUACUGGGCGUAAAGGGCUCGUAGGCGGCCAACUAAGUCAGACGUGAAAUCCCUCGGCUUAACCGGGGAACUGCGUCUGAUACUGGAUGGCUUGAGUUUGGGAGAGGGAUGCGGAAUUCCAGGUGUAGCGGUGAAAUGCGUAGAUAUCUGGAGGAACACCGGUGGCGAAGGCGGCAUCCUGGACCAACACUGACGCUGAGUGAGCGAAAGCCAGGGGAGCAAACGGG
rnacentral:rRNA from 1 species